GAGAACAAGAAGAAGCUCCCGCUUCUCGCCUAAGUUAAUAUUACCUCUGGGCUGAUCGAUAAUAUCUGUUGAUUAAAAGCGGGCGUUAACUUUGCCCGCUUUUUUCUUGUCCU
rfam:Lactobacillus gasseri ATCC 33323, complete genome.